rnacentral:rRNA from 1 species
UACGUAGGUGGCAAGCGUUGUCCGGAUUUACUGGGCGUAAAGAGCGCGCAGGCGGUCGUUCAAGUCGCGUGUGAAAGCCCCCGGCUCAACUGGGGAGGGUCACGCGAUACUGAUCGACUCGAAGGCAGGAGAGGGUAGUGGAAUUCCCGGUGUAGUGGUGAAAUCGCGUAGAUAUCGGGAGGAACACCAGUGGCGAAGGCGACUACCUGGCCUGUUUCUUGACGCUGAGGCGCGAAAGCUAGGGGAGCAAACGGG